rnacentral:rRNA from 1 species
GAUGAACGCUGGCGGCGUGCCUAAUACAUGCAAGUCGAGCGAACAGACGAGGAGCUUGCUCCUCUGACGUUAGCGGCGGACGGGUGAGUAACACGUGGAUAACCUACCUAUAAGACUGGGAUAACUUCGGGAAACCGGGGCUAAUACCGGAUAAUAUAUUGAACCGCAUGGUUCAAUAGUGAAAGACGGUUUUGCUGUCACUUAUAGAUGAUUCCGCGCCGCAUUGGCUGGUUGGUAAGGUAACGGCUUACCAAGGCAACGAUGCGUAGCCGACCUGAGAGGGUGAACAGCCACACUGGAACUGAGACACGGUACAGACGCCGACGGGAGGCAGCAGUGGGGAAUAUUGGACGAUGGGCGAAAGCCUGACCAAGCCAAACCGCGUGAGUGAAGAAGGCCUUAGGAUCUUAAAACCCUGUUGUUAGGAAAGAACAAAAGCGUGUGAAUAUACCACCGUCCUGACGGUACCGAAAGAAAAAGCAACGGCUAACUUCGUG